UACGAAGGGGGCUAGCGUUGUUCGGAAUCACUGGGCGUAAAGCGCACGUAGGCGGAUCUUUAAGUCAGGGGUGAAAUCCCGAGGCUCAACCUCGGAACUGCCCUUGAUACUGGGGAUCUCGAGUCCGGGAGAGGUGAGUGGAACUGCGAGUGUAGAGGUGAAAUUCGUAGAUAUUCGCAAGAACACCAGUGGCGAAGGCGGCUCACUGGCCCGGAACUGACGCUGAGGUGCGAAAGCGUGGGGAGCAAACAGG
rnacentral:rRNA from 1 species